rnacentral:rRNA from 1 species
UACGUAGGGUGCGAGCGUUAAUCGGAAUUACUGGGCGUAAAGCGUGCACAGGCGGCGGCUCAAGUCAGGUGUGAAAUCCCCGGGCUUAACCUGGGAAUUGCGCUUGAAACUAGGUCGCUAGAGUGUGGCAGAGGGGGGUGGAAUUCCACGUGUAGCAGUGAAAUGCGUAGAGAUGUGGAGGAACACCGAUGGCGAAGGCAGCCCCCUGGGUCAACACUGACGCUCAGGCACGAAAGCGUGGGGAGCGAUCCGG